rnacentral:rRNA from 1 species
GACCCGUGAUCCGGGUUGCGGACAGUGUCUGGUGGGUAGUUUGACUGGGGCGGUCUCCUCCUAAAGAGUAACGGAGGAGCACGAAGGUUGGCUAAUCCUGGUCGGACAUCAGGAGGUUAGUGCAAUGGCAUAAGCCAGCUUGACUGCGAGCGUGACGGCGCGAGCAGGUGCGAAAGCAGGUCAUAGUGAUCCGGUGGUUCUGAAUGGAAGGGCCAUCGCUCAACGGAUAAAAGGUACUCCGGGGAUAACAGGCUGAUACCGCCCAAGAGUUCAUAUCGACGGCGGUGUUUGGCACCUCGAUGUCGGCUCAUCACAUCCUGGGGCUGAAGUAGGUCCCAAGGGUAUGGCUGUUCGCCAUUUAAAGUGGUACGCGAGCUGGGUUUAGAACGUCGUGAGACAGUUCGGUCCCUAUCUGCCGUGGGCGCUGGAGAACUGAGGGGGGCUGCUCCUAGUACGAGAGGACCGGAGUGGACGCAUCACUGGUGUUCGGGUUGUCAUGCCAAUGGCACUGCCCGGUAGCUAAAUGCGGAAGAGAUAAGUGCUGAAAGCAUCUAAGCACGAAACUUGCCCCGAGAUGAGUUCUCCCUGACUCCUUGAGAGUCCUGAAGGAACGUUGAAGACGACGACGUUGAUAGGCCGGGUGUGUAAGCGCAGCGAUGCGUUGAGCUAACCGGUACUAAUGAACCGUGAGGCUUAACCUU